GGUCUGGUGGUCUAGUGGUAUGAUUCGCGCUUAGGGUUCACCCUUAGCUUGCUUGCGCGAGGUCCCGGGUUCAAUCCCCGGCCAGACCC
rnacentral:tRNA from 1 species